rnacentral:rRNA from 1 species
GACGAACGCUGGCGGCGUGCUUAACACAUGCAAGUCGAACGGUGAAGCUCCUUCUUUUUUGGUUGGUGUGGUUGAGUGGCGAACAGUUGCGUAACACGUAAGUACCCUGCCCUCUUCUUCUGGCUUACCGCAUUAAAUUGUGUCUAAUACGGGAUAUUCUUUUUCUUUCGCUUGUUGUAUCUUUGUUCGGUGUUGUUUCGGUGGGGGAUGGGCUCGCGGCCUAUCAGCUUGUUGGUGGGGUGAUGGCCUACCAAGGCGUCGACGGGUAGCCGGCCUGAGAGGGUGUACGGCAACAUUGGGACUGAGAUACGGCCCAGACUCCUACGGGAGGCAGCAGUGGGGAAUAUUGCAAAAUGGGCGCAAGCCUGAUGCAGCGACGCCGCGUGGGGGAUGAAGGCCUUCGGGUUGUAAACUACUUUCGCUAGGGACGAAGCGCAAGUGACGGUACCUGGAGAAGAAGCACCGGCUAACUACGUG